UGGGGAAUAUUGGACAAUGGGGGGAACCCUGAUCCAGCCAUGCCGCGUGUGUGAAGAAGGCCUUAUGGUUGUAAAGCACUUUAAGCAGUGAAGAAUACAUCAUGGCUAAUAUCCGUGAUGAAUGACAUUAGCUGCAGAAUAAGCACCGGCUAACUCUGUGCCAGCAGCCGCGGUAAUACAGAGGGUGCGAGCGUUAAUCGGAAUUACUGGGCGUAAAGCGAGCGUAGGUGGUUUAUUAAGUCAGAUGUGAAAUCCCUGGGCUUAACCUAGGAACUGCAUCUGAUACUGACAAACUAGAGUAGGUGAGAGGAAAGUAGAAUUCCAGGUGUAGCGGUGAAAUGCGUAGAGAUCUGGAGGAAUACCGAUGGCGAAGGCAGCUUUCUGGCAUCAUACUGACACUGAGGUUCGAAAGCGUGGGUAGCAAACAGGAUUAGAUACCCUGGUAGUCCACGCCGUAAACGAUGUCUACCAGUCGUUGGGUCUUUUAAAGACUUAGUGACGCAGUUAACGCGAUAAGUAGACCGCCUGGAGAGUACGGCCGCAAGGUUA
rnacentral:rRNA from 1 species